CUGGUCAUUACCAAGGCUGC
rnacentral:miRNA from 1 species